rnacentral:lncRNA from 1 species
AAAAUAAUCAAAUGUAAUCAGUUACAUUGCUUCUAAUUCAAUUGAAGUAAUUGAAAUAGUUACACUACAUUUUGAAAUAGGGUAACUUGUAACCUAUAAGCUUGUAAACUUCUAAAAUCUAUUAUAUUUCCAAAGUAACCUUCCCUACACUGAAUGAUAAUCUUCUCAGAUUAACACAGUUACUUACUAUACCACGGCUGCACCACCAUUAAGUUUAUACAAGUUUGAAAUUUUGUAUUUUUUUGCAAUUUUACACAAUGGAGCUGUGAAAGUGGACAAGUGAAUAAACUAGUGUACUUGUUUGGCAUCAUGGCAUUUAAUGUCCCAGACAAACUGUUCAAGGUGUUAGCAGCUGCCUUCUUCAAGACACAUAAAUCCUUAAAAAAAUAAAUCAGGCAUUACUGGUGUAUUUUAUGUCAUGGAAUAAAAUGUUAUACCACAGACCAUGUGAAACACAGACCUUUAGCCUUUUUAGUUUUUAACACCGACCAUUUAACCAAAAACCCUGUCUGACUUGAGUAUACUUGUGUACAUUGUAUAUAGGCGUAAUGUAUACUCCAGGACAGCAGGUGGCGCGAUCGACAUUCAGUUGCUAAGCAACCCACAGAAAAACCACUCGACGCUUCCCUCUCGAGUCCAACAUCGCAAACGACCCACACAACACAACACAGUCUGGAAGUGAAAUUCUAACUGCCGUUUUGUCUUUUGCAGCUUUAAUACUUCAAGAAAUCAUGUACCACAUUGUCAGUUUUGUUGACACUGAAGAAGUGGAGGUUGUGCCUGUAAUCUGGGUGAAGAGUGGUGUGUGUUUAUGGCCUCCAUACAAAGGUGAAAGAGUUCAGAGGGCAGCCAAGUGUUUGGAGCAACCCCAGGAGUCUUGGUCUGCAUAUAAAGUAAAAAUAAUGUAUACUACAAGUAUGUCUAAAUCCUUUCUGUACACAUUAUGUUUAAUUAAAAAGGGUUAAAUGGUAAACAACUUUUUGGAUUGUUCUGAUUUCUUAAUUCUGUCUUUCAUAGAUAAUUAUAGUGAAGCAUGCCGGAAGCUACCUCUUGCAGAACAGCAGACCGAUCUCCAGUUAGAGGCUGUGCCUGACUCCCUGAUGCCACCAAAAUGCAAAAUAAAACGAGACAGGUGUCUACUGGAUGAUUAUGACUGUGAUGAGGAGACUACCACACCCCUAAAAAACAAUUUACCACAAGCCCCUCAAAUACAGCCACUGUCCAAAAGGAUUUGUUCAGCUUCUAAUGAGCUACAACCAAGUCCUCUAGGACAAAGUCAAAAUCAAUCCCCGGGUGUGACACAGAUUGCAGAAACUUCACGACCAUCCUUGUUGGAGAUAAGUCCUGCCUCCGAGUGGCAUGAAAAUACUCUGCUGCCUCACCAGAUUUCCCAGCAGCCGUGGCAAACAAGAAGUUCUGACAGAGCAUCACAAGACAUCACAGAACCUAACAGUGAACUGACAUGGCCACAGGACACAACUGUACAGUCUCCCGAGCAGCCGGCACAGUCACCGUGGCAUCAUGAAACACCCAGACCCCAGAGAAAAAGCCUCUCGAGCUAU